AGAUUGAACGCUGGCGGCAUGCCUAACACAUGCAAGUCGAACGGGAGUAGCAAUACUCUAGUGGCGGACGGGUGAGGAAUACGUAGGAAUUUGCCCUUAAGUGGGGGAUAACCCGGGGAAACCCGGAUUAAUACCGCAUGACCUCGAAAGAGCAAAGUGGGGGAUCGCAAGACCUCACGCUUUUGGAGAAGCCUACGUCGGAUUAGCUAGUUGGUGAGGUAAUGGCUCACCAAGGCGACGAUCCGUAACUGGUCUGAGAGGAUGAUCAGUCACACCGGAACUGAGACACGGUCCGGACUCCUACGGGAGGCAGCAGUGGGGAAUAUUGGACAAGU
rnacentral:rRNA from 1 species